rnacentral:rRNA from 1 species
AAAGGGUGCGUAGGCGGCCUGUUAAGUCAGGGGUGAAAGACGGUAGCUCAACUAUCGCAGUGCCCUUGAUACUGAUGGGCUUGAAUGGACUAGAGGUAGGCGGAAUGAGACAAGUAGCGGUGAAAUACAUAGAUAUGUCUCAGAACACCGAUUGCGAAGGCAGCUUACUAUGGUCUUAUUGACGCUGAGGCACGAAAGCGUGGGGAUCAAACAGGAUUAGAUACCCGUGU